rnacentral:snRNA from 1 species
AGCUUUGUGCGAUGGCAAUAUCGUAGCCAAUGAGGUUUAUCUGAGGUGUGAUUGUUGCUAAUUGG